GCAGCUUAAGACUGCAAGAAAAGACUUCAAGAAAAAUCUUUUUGAAUUGGACAGGGCAAAAGAAGGUCCAGUGUAGGUGCAGAAUAGGGAUACGUGGCAUGGGAAUGGAGGGGCACAGCGAGGAACAUUAUAGGGAGGCCUGCCUUCAGGCAAUCUAGCAGGAGGCUCUUAGCCAAAUUACAACAGCAUUGUUUACUCUGCCCUGGUUCAGAGGGGCAGGGGAUUAGUAACUAGCUGUGAGACUUCCCAUGUAACCACAGAAGGCAAAAUGUGAACUUCUAAAUGUCAGUAUGACAGAUAGUACUAGUCUAGGCCAACUCAGUGCAGUGGAGAAACCUGUAGCACAGCUGGUCCCAGCAGUGCAAAAAUCAAUGAAAAGCCCCUGUGCCUCUGUAGAGAAAAAAAAGAAAAGCUUUGGAAAUAGGAGUAGAGCUCAAGUUAAAAAGAGAUCUGACCAUAGAAAGCUACUAUGGUGACAGGGAAGAUUAGAAUAUAAAAUCAGAAGAAAACAACAGUGGCAAAAUGACUACAUGCAAAGCCUGAAAGCAGAAUAUGAAAUGAUCUCAAGCUCAAAAUGUUCUCUUAGAAGAGCUCAAAAAGGAUCUUAAAAGAGAAAAAAAAUAAAAAUUGGGAAAAGAAAUGAAAGCUAUACAGGAAAUAUUAUGAAGAAUUUCAUAUUGGACCAUCUUCUUUACCUGAACUUCCCUGAAUAAUGCAUUUCACUCCAUGGGAUGAUGGAAUUUAUAUGUCAUCUAUUGCUUUCAACAACUGUUUCCAGAAAAAUCUACUGUAUAUGAGGAAAAUCAGAACAAAAAGAUAAAAACAUGAGGAAAAAAGAAGAAAAAGAAAACAAGUGCUCAUAUUGUAUGUUGAUUUACAUUUAUUCUCCAUAGUUCUUUCUCUGGAAGCAAUUUUUUUUUUUCAUACAUAGAAUAUUGAGAUUGUCUUGGAUCACUGAACCUCUGAGAAGUAACACAUCUUUCAUAGUUCUCCUUUGCAUACUUUUGCUGUGAUUGUGUAUACUGUAUUACUAGUCCUGUUUGCUUCACUCAGCAUAAAAGUUCAUUUCUAAAAUCAGCUUGUCUAAAAUCAGUUUCUUUCUAAUCAGUUUGUCCAUCAUUUUUAUAGAACAAUAAUAUUCCAUUGUUUUUCUAUAUCACAAUUUAUUCAGCCAUUCCCUAACUGAUGGGUAUCUUAUUAUUUUCCAAUUCUUUGCCUCCACAAGAAUAGCUGCUACAAAAAUGUUUGUACCUGUGGGUUCUUUUCCCUUCUUUAAGAUUUCCUUAGGGGAUCUAGUAGUGGCACUGCUGAAUUAAAGAAUAGGAACAGUCCUAUAGCUCUUUGGACCAAACUGCUCUACAGAAGGGUUGGAUUAUUUCACAAC